rnacentral:lncRNA from 1 species
CAUCAUACUAUUAAACUCAUUAUCACCCAACUUAAUGGGAGGUUAUGAUUUAGUUAUCACUAUAACUAUCUCAUUUUAAGGAUCUAAUAAUUUAAAAAAUUUAAUUUAUAAAUUAAGAGAAGAGAAGAGAUCAACCAGUAAAUCAUAAUCCACUUACUGACUUCACCAAAUCAUUGAAUUAGAUUAGGGUCAUGCUGGUUGAAAUGGCACCUAGAUCAGUCAUACUGAUCAACCUUAAUGGCAUGGGUCAAUUCGAAAUACUUAGCAGUCUAAUCAAAAUAUAAUCCAUCAAAUUGGCUAGAUAAGUG